rnacentral:tRNA from 1 species
AAAUAAGAAAUAAAGUAUUAUAUUUAGUUUCGGCCUAAAAUUUUGGAUUUAGGUAUCCCUUAUUUU